rnacentral:rRNA from 1 species
GAUGAACGCUGGCGGCGUGCCUAAUACAUGCAAGUCGAGCGAACGGACGAGAAGCUUUCUUCUCUGAUGUUAGCGGCGGACGGGUGAGUAACACGUGGAUAACCUACCUAUAAGACUGGGAUAACUUCGGGAAACCGGAGCUAAUACCGGAUAAUAUUUUGAACCGCAUGGUUCAAAAGUGAAAGACGGUCUUGCUGUCACUUAUAGAUGGAUCCGCGCUGCAUUAGCUAGUUGGUAAGGUAACGGCUUACCAAGGCAACGAUGCAUAGCCGACCUGAGAGGGUGAUCAGCCACACUGGAACUGAGACACGGUCCAGACUCCUACGGGAGGCAGCAGUAGGGAAUCUUACGCAAUGGACGAAUGCCUGACGGAGCAACGCCGCGUGAGUGCUGAAGGUCUUCGGCUCGUAAAACUCUGUUAUUCGGGAAGAACAUAUGUGUAAGUAACUGUGCACAUCUUGACGGUACCUAAUCAGAAAGCCCCGGCUAACUUCGUG